AGGACAAACGCUGGCGGCGUGCAUAAAACAUGCAAGUCGGACGAGCCAAUCCCCGCAAGGGGAAAGGCUAGUGGCGAACGGCUGAGUAACACGUAGGUGAUCUGCCCUGAAGUGGGGGAUAACGACUCGAAAGAGUCGCUAAUACCGCAUGUGACCAUCGAUUCGUUUUCGAUGCUCAAAGUCGUAAGACGCUUUAGGAGGAGCCUGCGGCGGAUUAGCUAGUUGGUGAGGUAAUGGCCCACCAAGGCUUCGAUCCGUAGCUGGUCUGAGAGGAUGGCCAGCCAGACUGGGACUGAGACACGGCCCAGACUCCUACGGGAGGCAGCAGUUAGGAAUUUGCGCAAUGGGGAAACCCUGACGCAGCCACGCCGCGUGCGGAUGAAGGCCUUCGGCGUAAACCGCCUUCGUCGAGGAAGACCACCCGACGGUACUCGAGCAGUAAGCAACGGCUAACGUACGUGACCAGCCAGCCGC
rnacentral:rRNA from 1 species